GACAGAGGGUGCAAACGUUGCUCGGAAUUACUGGGGCGUAAAGCGCGUGUAGGCGGACCACCAAGUCGGGACGUGAAAGCCCUGAGCUCAACUCAGGAACUGCAUCCGAAACUGGCGGUCUGGAGUGGGUGGAGAGGAAAGCAGAAUUCCUGGUGUAGGAGGUGAAAUUCGUAGAUAUCAGGAGGAACACCGGUGGCGAAGGCGGCUUUCUGGACACUUACUGACGCUGGAGACGCGAAAGCGUGGGGAGCAAACAGG
rnacentral:rRNA from 1 species